UGGGGAAUAUUGGACAAUGGGCGCAAGCCUGAUCCAGCCAUGCCGCGUGUGUGAAGAAGGCCUUCGGGUUGUAAAGCACUUUUGUCCGGGACGAAAGCGACUGGGAUAAUACCCUGGUUGUAUGACGGUACUGGAAGAAUAAGCACCGGCUAACUUCGUGCCAGCAGCCGCGGUAAUACGAAGGGUGCAAGCGUUACUCGGAAUUACUGGGCGUAAAGCGUGCGUAGGCGGUUAUUUAAGUCUGAUGUGAAAUCCCCGGGCUCAACCUGGGAAUGGCAUUGGAAACUGGAUGGCUAGAGUGAGGUAGAGGGUGGUGGAAUUCCCGGUGUAGCGGUGAAAUGCGUAGAGAUCGGGAGGAACAUCUGUGGCGAAGGCGGCCACCUGGACCAUCACUGACGCU
rnacentral:rRNA from 1 species